UUCAACGGAGAGUUUGAUCCUGGCUCAGGAUGAACGCUGGCGGCGUGCUUAACACAUGCAAGUCGAACGAUGAUC
rnacentral:rRNA from 1 species